rnacentral:rRNA from 1 species
UACGAAGGGGGCUAGCGUUGUUCGGAAUCACUGGGCGUAAAGCGCACGUAGGCGGAUCUUUAAGUCAGGGGUGAAAUCCCGAGGCUCAACCUCGGAACUGCCUUUGAUACUGGGGAUCUCGAGUCCGGGAGAGGUGAGUGGAACUGCGAGUGUAGAGGUGAAAUUCGUAGAUAUUCGCAAGAACACCAGUGGCGAAGGCGGCUCACUGGCCCCGGAACUGACGCUGAGGUGCGAAAGCGUGGGGAGCAAACAGG